UAUAUACUCCCUCCGUCCGAAAAUACUUGUCAUCAAAAUGAAUAAAAAGAGAUGUAUCUCGAACUAAAAUAUGUCUAUAUACAUCGCCUUUUAUUCAUUUUGAUGACAAGUAUUUCCGGACGGAGAGUACAAG
rfam:Triticum aestivum genome assembly, contig: Triticum_aestivum_CS42_TGACv1_scaffold_411455_5BL